rnacentral:sRNA from 1 species
UACGGGCAUCUCCAUUCAUCGUAAAGGAACAGCCCCUGCCGCAUUUUCGCGGCAGGGGCUGUUUUCAUUCCGUGGUUAUGGAGCCGUCUCCAGAAA